rnacentral:tRNA from 1 species
GCCGGGGUGGCGGAACCGGUAGACGCAGGGGACUUAAAAUCCUCUGAGCCACAGGGCUCGUGCGGGUUCGAUUCCCGCCCCCGGCA